rnacentral:lncRNA from 1 species
UCCGAGCGUGUGCGGGGCUGGAGCGCGGUGGGACGCGUGGCGGCGGCGGCGGCGGCGGCGGCCCCGUCCCCGCGGAUUGUUGGCUGGCGGUGCGGAUGGACGGACGGGCCACAACGCAUGUCGCCCUUCGCCUGCUGAACUCAGAGCGCUCGAGGAUGUCGGCGCUGAGGAAGGUCUGUAUGAGCUGUUGGCUGUUGUGCCAGGCCGGCUGGGGCCACGUGUGGACAGCCAGGAAGACCUGACCUUCCUCUGGGAUAUGUUUGGUGAGAAAAGCCUGCAUUCACCGGUAAAGAUCUUCACAAUAUCCUGGGUAGCCUUAGGUUGUGAGGUGGAAGUCUCUACUCUUCUGUGGGUAAGUUUAUGAAAGACUGAAGUUCGUUUGUCCUUUAGCAGAACUGACUUGUUGGGUUCCUUGGGCCUGGAUG